rnacentral:rRNA from 1 species
AUUGAACGCUGGCGGCAUGCUUUACACAUGCAAGUCGAACGGUAACAGGGAGCUUGCUCCGCUGACGAGUGGCGAACGGGUGAGUAAUGCAUCGGAACGUACCCAGUCGUGGGGGGAUAACGUAGCGAAAGUUACGCUAAUACCGCAUACGUCCUGAGGGAGAAAGCGGGGGACCGAAAGGCCUCGCGCGAUUGGAGCGGCCGAUGUCGGAUUAGCUAGUUGGUAGGGUAAAGGCCUACCAAGGCGACGAUCCGUAGCGGGUCUGAGAGGAUGAUCCGCCACACUGGGACUGAGACACGGCCCAGACUCCUACGGGAGGCAGCAGUGGGGAAUUUUGGACAAUGGGGGCAACCCUGAUCCAGCCAUUCCGCGUGAGUGAAGAAGGCCUUCGGUUGUAAGACUCUUCUAGCAGGAACGAAACGGUAGGGCCGACUAAUACUAGGCUACUAA